UACGUAGGGUGCAAGCGUUAAUCGGAAUUACUGGGCGUAAAGGGCUGGUAGGCGGCCAACUAAGUCGGAUGUGAAAUCCCCAGGCUUAACCUGGGAACUGCAUCCGAUACUGGUCGGCUUGAAUCCGGGAGAGGGAUGCAGAAUUCCAGGUGUAGCGGUGAAAUGCGUAGAUAUCUGGAGGAACACCGGUGGCGAAAGCGGCUCACUGGACCGAUUCUGACGCUGAGGUGCGAAAGCUAGGGUAGCAAACGGGG
rnacentral:rRNA from 1 species